GUGGUACUGUGUGUGUGUGCGCGCGCCAGCGCGCUAUAGGCAAGUGCUACAGAGUGUGGGAAGACAAAAAACCAUCUACGGGGGCAAGAUUCAACCAGGUACAUAAAGACGAGGCAGGACUUCAACCAAGUGGCCAUGCCCAUCCUUUUGACAUUUUCAGCCAUGCACAUUCUGCAGAUUUUUAUUUAUUUAUUAAAUUUUUAUGACACCCAUCUCACAACAACUGAGCAACUCUCAGAUACCCUUAAUAUCUUCAUUUUUCCUGAUAAUCACUAGCAAAAAACAUCUGUGUGUGUGUGUGUGUUUACCUUUUGGUUUUCUUUGCAAACAAAUCCAGUAUUUAAGUAAUUAUUUUCAUCAUACAUCUCUGGACUGUUCUCUGCAACUUGCUUUUCUUUAUGCAUAGCUUUUGAACUAAUUUACAGGUUUACUUACUUAUCUUUUGAACUAAUUUGCAAAUUUCAGUCCUUAGGAGUUGCACUAAAAAUGGAAAUUGAAUAAUCUUUCAGCCAAUCAAAAUAAAAGAUUGUUUUUACUAACA